UACGUAGGGUGCAAGCGUUACUCGGAAUUACUGGGCGUAAAGCGUGCGUAGGCGGUUUGUUAAGUCUGCUGUGAAAUCCCCGGGCUCAACCUGGGAAUGGCAGUGGAUACUGGCAAGCUAGAGUGCGGUAGAGGGAUGUGGAAUUCCCGGUGUAGCGGUGAAAUGCGUAGAGAUCGGGAGGAACACCAGUGGCGAAGGCGACUUACUGGACGAUUGUUGACGCUGAGGUGCGAAAGCGUGGGGAGCAAACAGG
rnacentral:rRNA from 1 species